rnacentral:rRNA from 1 species
UACGUAGGGUGCAAGCGUUGUCCGGAUUUAUUGGGCGUAAAGAGCUCGUAGGCGGUUUGAUAAGUCGGAUGUGAAACCCCCAGGCUUAACCUGGGGCCGCCAUUCGAUACUGUCAUGGCUAGAGUCCGGUAGGGGACCAUGGAAUUCCUGGUGUAGCGGUGAAAUGCGCAGAUAUCAGGAGGAACACCAGUGGCGAAGGCGGUGGUCUGGGCCGGUACUGACGCUGAGGAGCGAAAGCGUGGGGAGCGAACAGGAUUAGAUACCCUGGUAGUCCACGCCGUAAACGUUGGGCACUAGGUGUGGGGCCUAUUCAACGGGUUCCGUGCCGCAGCUAACGCAUUAAGUGCCCCGCCUGGGGAGUACGGCCGCAAGGCUAAAACUCAAAG